GCCUUACGCAUGCAAGUCGAACGCGAAAGCGGGGGCAACCCCGCAAGUAGAGUGGCGAACGGGUGAGUAAUACAUCGGAACGUGUCCAGUAGCGGGGGAUAACCUCUCGAAAGAGAGGCUAAUACCGCAUACGACCUACGGGUGAAAGAGGGGGAUCGCAAGACCUCUCACUAUUGGAGCGGCCGAUGUCGGAUUAGCUAGUUGGUGGGGUAAAGGCUUACCAAGGCGACGAUCCGUAGCUGGUCUGAGAGGACGACCAGCCACACUGGAACUGAGACACGGUCCAGACUCCUACGGGAGGCAGCAGUGGGGAAUUUUGGACAAUGGGGGAAACCCUGAUCCAGCCAUGCCGCGUGGGUGAAGAAGGCCUUCGGGUUGUAAAGCCCUUUCGGUGGGGACGAAACGGUGCGCGCUAACACCACGCACUACUGACGGUACCCACAGAAGAAGCACCGGCUA
rnacentral:rRNA from 1 species